rnacentral:rRNA from 1 species
GAUGAACGCUAGCGGCAGGCUUAAUACAUGCAAGUCGAGGGGCAGCGCGGACUUCGGUCUGGCGGCGACCGGCAAACGGGUGCGGAACACGUACACAACCUUCCUUUUAGUGGGGGAUAGCCCAGAGAAAUUUGGAUUAAUACCCCGUAAGAUGUUAGUGAGGCAUCUCACUGAUAUUAUAGUGGCAACACGCUAGAAGACGGGUGUGCGUAUGAUUAGGUAGUUGGCGGGGUAACGGCCCACCAAGCCUUCGAUCAUUAACUGGUGUGAGAGCACGACCAGUCACACGGGCACUGAGACACGGGCCCGACUCCUACGGGAGGCAGCAGUAAGGAAUAUUGGUCAAUGGAGGAAACUCUGAACCAGCCAUGCCGCGUGGAGGAUGAAGGUCCUCUGGAUUGUAAACUUCUUUUAUAUGGGACGAAAAAGGGACUUUCUAGUUCAACUGACGGUACCAUAUGAAUAAGCACCGGCUAACUCCGUGCCAGCCGCCGCAGUAAUAC